rnacentral:tRNA from 1 species
UCCCGGCUAGCUCAGUCGGUAGAGCGUCAGACUCUUACUCAAGAGCCUCCGAGAUUGACUCGGUGAUCUGAAUGUCGAGGGUUCGAGCCCCUCGUUGGGAG